UUCAGAGAUGAGAAUGAUGAUAAAUAAGAGAUAUUAUUAGUCGACUUAUUGCUCGACUAAUUGAAGUGACGGAUGUUAUUUAAUUAUUUGAGUAUUACUUAUUAAUGAGUUUAUUGAUUUAGUAAUCAAGAUUAAUUACUAAAUCAAUAGUGUAAAUGAUAUAUCAAUGACGAUGGCACUUAUAAGUUUAUAUUUAUUAACUUAGUUGAACUGAGGCAUUAUGUAUAUACAUGUAUUAAUUGAUUACAUGUGAGAGUUAUAUUAUUAUAUUAGUUAGAAUAAUAUUUGUGGCUAUUAGCAAUAGCAAUCCAUAAGCUUUCACAAGAAUGUAGAUAUUUUUACAUUUACUUAUUUAUUUUAUUUGGGGAUAUCUAUUAACAAAUCUUAAGAAGGAAGCUACCCUUUAUUUCUUUUCUUAUUCUCGCGAGUUCGUCAUUUCCUUUCCACCGCCUCCUAAAUCUCAUUUUAUUUUUGGUUCAAGCUUCAAAGAGACUAGCAAUCAUUUUUUAAAUUUGUUGGAUAUAACUCUUCUAGCAACUUCAAGAACCGACUCCACCCAGCAUAACUCUCUCCUCUCUCACUCUGAUCAUUUCUUCCUCAAUCUGCAAACUUAAAAACACCAGCAACAGUGAGAACUAAGGCAGCUUCGUCGGACCGGUAACGCCUUCAGCCGACAAUGUUCAUUGAAGAGCACCUAUUUUUGAAAUCAAGAGAUUCAAGUCAGAAAAACAAAUAGAAUAGAUACAGAAGAAGAAGAGCCGAGGGGGAGAGCAGCGAGAGAGGUUGAGAGAGAAAGAUCGAGAGGGAGCAUACCUGAGGCAGGGGUGGCGGUGUGAUGGAGACAGCGGCGGUGACGGCGGGCCUUGCCGGAGGGGCGGAUUUUAGAGGGGAAAGUGGAGGCAGAAAACCCUAGAAUUUGGGCAUUCUUGAGGUUAAGCUGUGAUGUAGAUGGAUGCAAGCAGAGCAAAGCCUUCAGAGUAUAUUAAAUUAGGCUCAGGAUUCCAUGUCUUCAUACAUGUAAUCCACAUGAAUUAUUCCGCUGCAACACUCAGUCUAUUCUACUUUGUUGAUGUGUUGUACAUAUUUUAAAUCAAUAGCUUUGAGAAUUAUAUCACUUGAAAGUUAGACAACUUGUCGUUGAGUAUUGUAAGUUGUCUACUCAUGAGUUUUAAAAGUGACUGCUUAUGAUUAUCCAAUAUUAAAGUAAUUCAUCGUUAAA